ensembl:lncRNA
GGGGGGGGGUUCACCCAUUCCCCCCUACACCGCAGCCCCCCCCCCAGCUGUGCAUCAGCGCCCUGCAGAGCAUUGACCUCCCGGCCAUGUGCCCCACCUGGGCCAGGCCCUGCGGGGGAUUCCCAGCUCUUCCCGCACACUCACUCACUCACUCACCCUAAGGCUACGGAGAUCAGCUCUCGGCUCACCCGUUGCCUCCCAUACCCACCCCAUCCUGCUCAAAGUCCACAGGCCCCAUUCUCAAGCUUUAUUUUUGCCAUUUUCCACACCGUUCUCUCACCCCGCCCCCCGUUCAGCCCUACGGGAUUGUAUUUCCACUGCAAGACCCCUCCGUGCCUGGCCCAGAAACCCCCACCCCAGGUCCCCCCCUCCCUGUUUGCCCUGCACACAUCCCACUAAACAUUAACUCCUGCGGGUCAAACCACCACCCCCAGCUCUGCCCUUGUGCUCCCGAGCUCUGAUCCACGGGGAGGGACUUUCAGCCCAUCCUUGCGACGAUCCCCUUAAACUUCUCCAUCGUUUCUCCACCGAGAUAAGAGCCGUCAGGAACCGCCUUCUUCUUUCCAUUCCGUUCGGUUGGCAGCUAAGAGGAACGUUCUCCAGUUGCUGGAAUGCUUCGUGCAAGCCUUGCUUGCUCCUCUCCUCUCGGUUACCUUUGGACAUGGAGGUGCUGAGCUCUGAGCUGCUGCUUCUGCACUCUGCUCUGCUCCUUCCCACCACCAUUUCACCAUCAGUCUGCGCUCAGCCCCACCUGCCCUGUGCCCACAGCACCCCCCCAUCCCAUGCCAUGAGCUGCUGAGGGCUGUGGGGCCGAUGGGAGCAGCUCACAGCUGCUGCAGCUCUCUGCAGAGGGCAGAUGUGGCAAAAGCAGAUCUGACUGCGAGACGUCUCCUCCUCCCACAUCCCCGAAUAUUUCGUUCGAUAGGCAUAAAAAAGCCCCCCCAAAAACUCCCAGAGGCGGCCAAGAACAGUGCAGAUGUGGCCCGUGGGGACACAGUGGGGUGGGUUGGUGCUCUCUGAGGUCCUCCCCAUCCUUUGUGGCUCUGUGCAGCCUGAGCCGAUGCCAUCCCGAAGCUCCAUAAGGAAUGCUGUGCAUGGGCUCCCGAAGUCACCCCAGCAACUGCAACAGCAGCUCCAAACGCUGUCACUUUUGCCCACGCUGCGCUCUCAGCCCUUUUGGGAAGUCACUGCGUCACGUCCCACAACACCCAGGGAAGUGCCAGCUCUUAUUUCAAGCUUUUCUUUCGGCAAAUCUGGUUUCUAGAUGUUAUGCCUGUGCUCUGUUCCAUUUUCAGCACAGGCAGCUCAGGCUUUUUCUUCUUUCCUUCGCUUCUUAAUUUCACUCGUGACCCUAAGUUACCUCCUUUUUUAACCUGUGUAAUUAGCAAGUCCUUAAAACACUCGGCUUCAUUAACAGAACACGGAUUACAUAAAUUAGACGCAUUCUUUAGCACAACUCCACUUGCCUACCAAAAACUCCAUCGCCACAAUGAAGAACAGUGGAGGAGUGGCACCCGGGGGCAGUCGGUGGGCACUGUGGGGUGGGUUUGGUCAUCUUAGAGGUCUUUUCCAGUCCUAAUGAUGCUGUGAUUCUAAGAUCCAACUUCCCCGAACACAACUGAAAGGAGAAGGCUGGCACUGCUGCUUCCAAGCCCACCUGCACAAUGCUUGCUUACGGCUUCCCCAUUUCCUAUCAGGGCUCGCUCCCAAUUCCCUCUGCUGCUGCUCUGCAGCCAUUUGCCAAGCAGCCCCAAGUUGGGGAGCUGCCCCCAAGAGCUGCUGUGGGUCUCACACCUCUCAGCUGUGCCUCCAGCACAGCCCUCUGCUGUCUGCAGUCGCUGUGCAAAGAGGGCUCAGCACUGUGCUGGCACCGUCCUCAGCUGAGCAUCCUCAGAGCAUGGCUGUCACCCAAAGCCACCCCCUGCACACAGGCAGGGAGUUAAGAACGCUGUACUGAAGGCAAAGCAGAGGUGUAAGAGCACAUUAAGCCGUUUUCUGGAUGUGGAAAUAGAUCAAUAUAACUACAGCAAAGUUAUUAUUACCACCGUAGCCACGCGAGUGUAACUCCCUCCAUAAUUCUGUGACAGCCACUUCUAUUUCAGGUCAAGUGUGCAAAUGCAGAACUUGCAACACCCUACCGAGAAUAUUAACUGUUACAAAGACCAAGUCCUAAAGAGAGAAUACCUGAAGGUACAGGGACGGGGCGGGGAGGGGGGGAAAGCCCCACGCUUGUCUCCAGUUCCUUUAAUCACAGCACAUUAGCCAAAUGUGAUACACGGGAUCCAGCCUUUAGGUGGGGAGCGUGUUUUGCAGUGGCUCUCCUAACUCUUCAGGAGCUCUAACUCGACUUUCUGCACUGCUCUCCGAGCAAAAGGAAUCAUGCAAACAUCAUGCAAAGAACACACGCUUUGAGCACAGCGCGGGAGAGGUGGUGCAGCCUGGAGAAGGACUAUAAAAAAAGCCCUCGGUGGUGUGUGGGAAGGCUUAGGGGAAUAUUUCAGCACAUCAGGAGCUGAAUCACUGCAUGUAGGUGGAGCCAGACAGAUUGACAAGAUCUGCAACUUGAAAAAUGACCUAAGCCUGAGAUCAAUCAUCUCGCAAAGUCGCUGACGGAGGGGAACAACAGAUGGAUGUGGAUGGAGGUGAGGAGGCUCCACGUCAGCGUGGCGUGGAAAAAUGCACUGGGCACACACACUGUGCUGACCAACCCGUGUGCCCCCCCGUGCACACACAGAUGCAUCCCGUGCAGUGCAAAAGGCUGAGCACACCUCUUCUCCUGUCACCUCCCAGCGUCAGCGCCACCAAAACUUUCUCUCCUGCUGCAGCAGCACAUCAGGAAGGCACGCUGGGGGAAGCCGUGAGCAGACGUCUCGUUGCCAUGCAUGGGAUUAAUGAAGGAUGCAGCUUCCAGGUAAUGACUGGGAGAAGUCGUGGAGCAGCACUUGAUGCAAAGCUAGGAAUUUAUUGCACAUCAGAUAAAAGCACGAAAAAUAAACGAUUGUAAACCAAGCUUUCAAGUUUUACAGCCCUUCAGAUCAUUGCAUCGCAGUCAAAUCUGCUUCACGGGCUGAUCCAGGACAUAAAACUGUACUCAAAUUACAAGCAAACCCGAGUAAUAACUUCCUAAUUUCCUUCAGAAAGCCCAAACUCGGGGCCUAUUCAUCGCAAGAGCUGUACUUUGUCCAUGCAAAUGCACACAGCUCUCCUCAGCUGAGCAGUUCCUGAGCUCUGCCACUAGAGACAAACCACCACCAGGUCACUCCCUGCCCUACUAUUCCAGUUCUGCACCAUCUCGAAGCAUUUCCCUUUGUGACCCCGCGAGGUACCAAGAACGCACUCAACAUUAAGAGAUUAACUGAAUGGAUUCAAUGAUGGCUUGCCUUGUUUGGUAAAUAAAACUUAUUAGCAGCCGUUGGCACUGGGUCUGUGUCAUCAAUACUCAAUGACAAAGCCAGCCCGUAACCCUGGCAAUCAUUUCUAAUGCCAUUUGGCAGGUCACGCUGGAGUUCAAAAUGUUAUGGCUGCAGAUCAGCCCUCAGCAGACACUGCUCUGUGCUGCUCUCACACGCAGCAGCUGGCCAUGGGGUUAAACAAAAGGGCAAUGCUCUGCCCUCAUUAGUUCAAGGCAGCACGGCUGAUCUCUGAUCAUCCGAGGGCAAACCUGAGCUUUUCGCUCGCUGCAUCCAACCCAGGGUGUGAUAUUCUGGCUUACAGCAGGGAGCUGUGGUGCAUAUCGUGGCUCUGAUAAGUCUGUGUGGUGUGUGACAGCAGCUAUGAACAUGCACUUCAUUGGAUAGGGGGUAACUGCACCUUAUGGACAGGGUGUGAGCCAAAGAUUUGCAUGGGCGCCCUGACUCCUGGAGUUUGGUCUUACAUUUGGGAUUGCAUGCAUACAAACAGGGCUGACUGGAGAGUUAACCCUAAAAACCUG